CCUACGGGAGGCAGCAGUGGGGAAUAUUGGACAAUGGGGGGAACCCUGAUCCAGCCAUGCCGCGUGUGUGAAGAAGGCCCUCGGGUUGUAAAGCACUUUCAGCGAGGAAGAACGCCUAGCGGUUAAUACCCGCUAGGAAAGACAUCACUCGCAGAAGAAGCACCGGCUAACUCCGUGCCAGCAGCCGCGGUAAUACGGAGGGUGCAAGCGUUAAUCGGAAUUACUGGGCGUAAAGCGCGCGUAGGUGGCUUGAUAAGCCGGUUGUGAAAGCCCCGGGCUCAACCUGGGAACAGCAUCCGGAACUGUCAAGCUAGAGUGCAGGAGAGGAAGGUAGAAUUCCCGGUGUAGCGGUGAAAUGCGUAGAGAUCGGGAGGAAUACCAGUGGCGAAGGCGGCCUUCUGGACUGACACUGACACUGAGGUGCGAAAGCGUGGGUAGCAAACAGGAUUAGAUACCCUGGUAGUCCACGCCGUAAACGAUGUCGACCAGCCGUUGGUUGCCUAGCGCACUUUGUGGCGAAGUUAACGCGAUAAGUCGACCGCCUGGGGAGUACGGCCGCAAGGUUAAAACUCAAAUGAAUUGACGGA
rnacentral:rRNA from 1 species